rnacentral:rRNA from 1 species
CAGAAGAGGAGAGUGGAAUUCCAUGUGUAGCGGUGAAAUGCGUAGAUAUAUGGAGGAACACCAGUGGCGAAGGCGGCUCUCUGGUCUGUAACUGACGCUGAGGCUCGAAAGCGUGGGGAGCAAACAGGAUUAGAUACCCUGGUAGUCCACGCCGUAAACGAUGAGUGUUAAGUGUUGGAGGGUUUCCGCCCUUCAGUGCUGCAGCAAACGCAUUAAGCACUCCGCCUGGGGAGUACGACCGCAAGGUUGAAACUCAAAGGAAUUGACGGGGGCCCGCACAAGCGGUGGAGCAUGUGGUUUAAUUGGAAGCAACGCGAAGAACCUUACCAGGUCUUGACAUCCUUUGACCACUCUAGAGAUAGAGCUUUCCCUUCGGGGACAAAGUGACAGGUGGUGCAUGGUGGUCGUCAGCUCGUGUCGUGAGAUGUUGGGUUAAGUCCCGCAACGAGCGCAACCCUUAUUGUUAGUUGCCAUCAUUUAGUUGGGCACUCUAGCGAGACUGCCGGUGACAAACCGGAGGAAGGUGGGGAUGACGUCAAAUCAUCAUGCCCCUUAUGACCUGGGCUACACACGUGUUACAAUGGGAAGUACAACGAGUCGCUAGACCGCGAGGUCAUGCAAAUUUCUUAAAGCUUUUUUCAGUUCGGAUUGCAGGCUGCAACUCGCCUGCAUGAAGCCGGAAUCGUUAGUAAUCGCGGAUCAGCACGCCGCGGUGAAUACGUUCCCGGGCCUUGUACACACCGCCCGUCACACCACGAGAGUUUGUAACA